rnacentral:rRNA from 1 species
CGCUGGCGGCAUGCCUUACACAUGCAAGUCGAACGGUAACGGGCCUUCGGGCGCCGACGAGUGGCGAACGGGUGAGUAAUGCAUCGGAACGUACCUUUCAGUGGGGAUAACGUAGCGAAAGUUACGCUAAUACCGCAUAUUCUGUGAGCAGGAAAGCAGGGGAUCGCAAGACCUUGCGCUGAUUGAGCGGCCGAUGUCAGAUUAGCUAGUUGGUGAGGUAAAGGCUCACCAAGGCGACGAUCUGUAGCGGGUCUGAGAGGAUGAUCCGCCACACUGGAACUGAGACACGGUCCAGACUCCUACGGGAGGCAGCAGUGGGGAAUUUUGGACAAUGGGGGCAACCCUGAUCCAGCCAUGCCGCGUGAGUGAAGAAGGCCUUCGGGUUGUAAAGCUCUUUCGGCCGGGAAGAAAUCGUAUGGGCUAAUACCCUGUGCGGAUGACGGUACCGGCAUAAGAAGCACCGGCUAACUACGUG